UGCAGUCGAGCGGACAGAUGGGAGCUUGCUCCCUGAUGUUAGCGGCGGACGGGUGAGUAACACGUGGGUAACCUGCCUGUAAGACUGGGAUAACUCCGGGAAACCGGGGCUAAUACCGGAUGGUUGUCUGAACCGCAUGGUUCAGACAUAAAAGGUGGCUUCGGCUACCACUUACAGAUGGACCCGCGGCGCAUUAGCUAGUUGGUGAGGUAACGGCUCACCAAGGCGACGAUGCGUAGCCGACCUGAGAGGGUGAUCGGCCACACUGGGACUGAGACACGGCCCAGACUCCUACGGGAGGCAGCAGUAGGGAAUCUUCCGCAAUGGACGAAAGUCUGACGGAGCAACGCCGCGUGAGUGAUGAAGGUUUUCGGAUCGUAAAGCUCUGUUGUUAGGGAAGAACAAGUGCCGUUCAAAUAGGGCGGCACCUUGACGGUACCUAACCAGAAAGCCACGGCUAACUACGUGCCAGCAGCCGCGGUAAUACGUAGGUGGCAAGCGUUGUCCGGAAUUAUUGGGCGUAAAGGGCUCGCAGGCGGUUUCUUAAGUCUGAUGUGAAAGCCCCCGGCUCAACCGGGGAGGGUCAUUGGAAACUGGGGAACUUGAGUGCAGAAGAGGAGAGUGGAAUUCCACGUGUAGCGGUGAAAUGCGUAGAGAUGUGGAGGAACACCAGUGGCGAAGGCGACUCUCUGGUCUGUAACUGACGCUGAGGAGCGAAAGCGUGGGGAGCGAACAGGAUUAGAUACCCUGGUAGUCCACGCCGUAAACGAUGAGUGCUAAGUG
rnacentral:rRNA from 1 species